rnacentral:rRNA from 1 species
ACGCUCGACACCUACGGGGGGCAGCAGUGGGGAAUAUUGCACAAUGGGGAAACCCGUACGAUGCAGCGACGCCGCGUGAGCGAAGAAGUAUUUCGGUAUGUAAAGCUCUAUCAGCAGGGAAGAAACUGACGGUACCUGACUAAGAAGCACCGGCUAAAUACGUGGCAGCAGCCGCGGUAAUCUGAGCGGGCUGGCAAGGC